GAUGAACGCUGGCGGCGUGCCUAAUACAUGCCAGUCGAGCGAACAGACGAGGAGCUUGCUCCUCUGACGUUAUCGGCGGACGGGUGAGUAACACGUGGAUAACCUACCUCUAAGACUGGGAUAACUUCGGGAAACCGGAUCUAAUACCGGAUAAUAUAUUGAACCUCAUUGUUCAAUAGUUAAAGACGCUUUUGCUUUCACUUAUAGAUUGAUCCGCGCCGCAUUAGCUAGUUGGUUAGGUAACGGCUUAACAAGGCAACGAUGCGUAGCCGACCUGAGAGGGUGUUCGGCCACACUGGAACUGAGACACGGUACAGACUCCUACGGGAGGCAGCAGUAGGGAAUCUUACGCAAUGGGCGAAAGCGUGACGGAGCAACGCCGCGUGAGUGAUGAAGGUCUUCGGAUCGUAAAACUCUGUUAUUAGGGAAGAACAAAUGUGUAAGUAACCAUGCACGUCUUGACGGUACCCAAUCAGAAAGCCACGGCUAACUACGUG
rnacentral:rRNA from 1 species